rnacentral:ribozyme from 1 species
CCUUUCCAAGGGUCGCCACCUUGACGUGGUGGAAAGGCUUGUGUUCCAGUGAUCCCAAGAGCAUGUUAAUCUAGUUGGCUAUGCUUUUUGGGUGAGGUACAAAACUAAGAGCGAC